rnacentral:misc_RNA from 1 species
GAAAACCAUAUGUAGAAUGAUUAAUGGCUUGAGAACUGUCAUAUUGAAGGAUUCUCAACUUCCCCUCCUUGGUACCGUAGACAACACCACCUCCCACUGAGGGAUGAAAACAUGCGACAUUUACCUCAUCCUCGGCACUGGGGAGAACCCUCACAAGUUCCAUGUUAGAAACUCUGUAAACCUCAAGAAUAGUGUAUAUGGGCACAGUUGUCUCUCCAUCUACAACAACACUCUUGAGAAGUGAACUAUGUCGACGGCCAUAAGCAAGUAAUAGGUGUUCUGAUGUGGGAGAGAACUGUAUAGAUGUUAGACAAUGAGCAGCUCUUAUAGCUCGAGAUGCUAGUACCAUACCAAACGUUGCCUCCUCCAAAGAGUAUAUCCGAAGCUCAUACAUGACCUGCUGAGCAGAAAUUGGGUGUCGUGUAGGCGAUGUUGCAGCACCAGUUGCAUCAUUAUUAGCAUGGCU